rnacentral:rRNA from 1 species
GACGAACCGUGCGAACGUUGUUCGGAAUUACUGGGCGUAAAGGGCUCGUAGGUGGCCAACUAAGUCGGACGUGAAAUCCCUCGGCUUAACCGGGGAACUGCGUCUGAUACUGGAUGGCUUGAGUUCGGGAGAGGGAUGCGGAAUUCCAGGUGUAGCGGUGAAAUGCGUAGAUAUCUGGAGGAACACCGGUGGCGAAGGCGGCAUCCUGGACCGACACUGACGCUGAGGAGCGAAAGCCAGGGGAGCAAACAGG